CUACGGGUGGCACCAGGCGAGAAAACUUUGCAAUGUGCGAAAGCACGACAAGGUUAAUCCGAGUGGUUUGAGCUAAACGAACCUUUUGACAGUCCUAGAAACACUGUUGAAUAAGGGGUGGGCAAGUUCUGGUGUCAGCCGCCGCGGUAAAACCAGCACCUCAAGUGGUCAGGAUGAUUAUUGGGCCUAAAGCAUCCGUAGCCGGCUCUGUAAGUUUUCGGUUAAAUCUGUACGCUCAACGUACAGGCUGCCGGGAAUACUGCAGAGCUAGGGAGUGGGAGAGGUAGACGGUACUCGGUAGGAAGGGGUAAAAUCCUUUGAUCUAUUGAUGACCACCUGUGGCGAAGGCGGUCUACCAGAACACGUCCGACGGUGAGGGAUGAAAGCUGGGGGAGCAAACCGGAUUAGAUACCCCAGUAGUC
rnacentral:rRNA from 1 species